rnacentral:rRNA from 1 species
GACGUAGGAGGCGAGCGUUAUCCGGAAUCACUGGGCGUAAAGAGCACGUAGGCGGCUGUGUAAGUCGGUUGUGAAAGCCUUCCGCUCAACGGAAGAACGGCAUCCGAUACUGCAUGGCUUGAGUGUGGGAGGGGAGAGUGGAACUUCUGGUGGAGCGGUGAAAUGCGUAGAUAUCAGAAGGAACACCGGCGGCGAAGGCGACUCUCUGGUCCAUAACUGACGCUGAGUGUGCGAAAGCUAGGGGAGCAAA